GUUGCCCGAUGCCACUCCGGGUCUCAUCCUCGUAUAGAAGACGCACUUGCACUCGCGUUAUACUUUCUUCGUUCGCGACGUGCGGCGACGCUCGGGUUUUAAUUAUCACAUUUUCAACGCGUUUCGGUAAAACGCGAGAAUCGCGAGAGCAUAUUCGCGCGCGAAUUAAACCGAUGCUCCGUUCUCGCGUCGCCGCUUUUUUCAAGACCACUUAUCGGAGGGCCUCAUCGACGCACUCGGGAGUCGCCGAUAUUCCAGAAUGGAACUACACUUCACACUUCACUAUUUUAUAUUCCACAGAGAGUAUUUGACGACGAAGAAAUCGCGCAGAUUAUUUCACUGAUUAUUCCGCGUCGAGCGCGUAUCGUAUUUCAACGUCGAAGAUCGUCGAAACUUUGGAUAGAUAAAGAUCUCGAAUCGGCAAUUCCGAGAACGCCCGGACGCUUGCGCUCGACGCGAUUCCGAGAAUCCGGCCGGCUAGACAAAACAAAGAGCAUUUCCCGAGCACUGUAUACACUCGCGAUCGUCGAUAAUACACGGUGAAUCUAAUACGUACUUUUCGUUCUUAACUAAUAUUUCCGACUAGACUCUGACUUUUUGCGAGACAUUGGUAGAGACGAGCAAUGGAUGAUAAUAAACAAGAUAUAAUAGCAACAUGGCGGCGCGACUAUACUUGCAGCCAAGCAGCGAAUUUUGCGAGAAUUACGAGUUCAUUCGUCGCGUACCGAUAUUUCGACACGAUGAUGCGGAAGUAAGACCGGAAACGCGCAAUCUCUCGUUCACAUCACGAGCGACAACACCGAAAAACCCGGCGAUUUUCGCGUGGAAAGCGCACCCGGUAAUUCGCUACGUCUAGUAGACUCGCGCGAAAUCGGCCAACUUUAGGGGGCUCGAGCCGGGUGAGAGCCGUGACGUCACGCGACUUUUCGAAAGAAUGUGAGAGAAGGCGAGAGAACGCGAUUCGCGGCCGACGAGAUCAAUCUCGCUCGUACGAUCGCGAUCACGAUGUCGGGACACGCGACGCGAUCGGAUUUAUACAAUAAUUAACGGCGUGAAGAUACGAAUUAAUACUUACACUCUCGUAUUUUCGCGGACCGACGACAAACGCGACCGUUGAUUGUGACCAACAAUACGAAAGUGACCCAGAGGGCAGCAGCAAUCUAGAUUGUGUUCGGAAAUGCAUUCGAUUAGAGCGAAGCGCUGCUCGACCAAUCAGGACGGAGAUCCUCGGUCUCCGAUUGGUGGACAAAUUUCGGUCGACCAAUCAGGACCACGAGAUUCGCGGUCUGCGAUUAGUCGAUCAAGUCUUGGUCGACCAAUCAGGACGAAGAAAUCCUCGGUCUCUAAUUGGUCGAUUCAAUUCUGCAACAACUCAAGAACCGCCGAAAGUUUCGGAAGUCGGAUCGCGAGAAUUACCGGGAGCUUGCGACGUGAGUUUUCCGAGUUUUUCGACGUCGUCGCUCAUAAUCUAAGCGGGAGAUCGCGCGUUUCCGGCCUUAUUUUCUAAUCAUCGUGUCGAAAUAUCGGUACGCGACGAAUUAACUCGUAAUUUUUACAAAAACCGCCGGUCACGCACACACACAACUACGACACGGUCGCACCGCCAUAUUGCCAUUAUUAUUUCUCAAUAUUCAGUGAAAUGUAGAAUAGUGAAGCGAAUGGUGUAGUGGUCAAUUCGAGAAUAUCGGCGACUCCUGAGUGCGUCGCGAAGGAAGUCGUCAUCGUCGUUCGAUAAGUGGUCUUGAAAAACAACGGCUACGCGAAAACGGAGCAUCGAUUUUAUUCGAAUGCAAAUAAGCUCUCCCAAAACGCGUCGAAAAUGUGAUAAUUAAUUAAAAUCCGGGCGUCGCCGCGUUUCGCGAACGAAAAAAAAUAACGCGAGUGCAAGUGCGUCUUCUACGAGGAGGAGGUCCAGGGUGGCAUCGGACAUAACUAUAUGGAGAACAAGAAGAGAGGAAAAGGGAAGAAGAGAAGAGAGAAGAAGGAUAGCAUCGAGCAACGGCGGAGCAACUAUAAGAUUACAACUCCGCUGCUGCGCAUCGUAUCGGUCGAAAAAGGGAGGAAGGGGACGGAAGAACGAAGAAGGAAAGAGAGAAGCUGAUUGUAUUCGAACGAUCUCUACGCUACACUAUUACGGAUAUAACGUCGCACUUUGUUCGUCGACUCACCUAACGUAGACGCGGCAGGUGGAAUUGUUCACACGCCGGUCACUGGCGAGACGCCGGCGAUCUUCGAAGAAGUCCUUAAGCGCCGUAACACCCAGAACGAACAUGACCGGGAUCAUAGCGACUUCCUUGCCGAAGGCAUUUAUAGCCGGCACCCAAUUCAGCAGGACGAUGAAGAUGAAGUACAGAUUGGCCACGCGAUGAAACUGCUCCAGCAAGUUACGAGGUAGGAAGCUCAACGCCGUGUACUUUGUUGUGCGUACCCUGAAACGCGACAUUGUUAUAUGUCAAAUGUGCAAGAUGAUGAUCUCGUUCGAAUCGACUCUGUCGGAUACAUUGUCAUUGUCGCCCUUACCUGUUGUCCGCCCUAUCUCCAUUAGGAUGCUGUCUCUUCGGGGUUUUCGGGGAGAUUAAAUGAUUCGGUACUAUUGUCCUUAGGCGGGGCUCUUCCGGCAUUGGACCGAAACAAUGAGCCCAUAGUCUUCUCCACCAGGGGGGCGCAACGCUACGUCUUAUCGUAUAAAUAGACUCCGAUCUGCGAACAUCGCGGCGUAGCUUUUAAUACUUUGUUAUGCACAUGAAAAAUCAAUAGAGAAAAAAAUAUCUUAUUCACAAUUUAUGCACGAAACAUUUGGAAUUUCAUGAUAAGUGAUCUCGAUAUAUAUCAUCGAUAUAAAAUUAUCAAUAAUUUUAAUAUAAAGAACCCCAUUAAACAUAUAAGAUUUAUAUUAUCUCUCUACAAUCAUACGACGGAAAAUGAUGAAUCAGAAAUUCUUAAUAUAUUUUUCUGCAUUACACAAUGCAUAAAAUUAUAGAAAAAAUUCUAUCCAAAUUAUAAAGGUUUAGAAAACAUUUUCGGACAAAUAUAGAUUUGAUUAAACUUCGCGUAUUAAUAUAAUGUGUUAACAGCUUCUUUUAGACAUUAUCUGCUGUUAAUGUACAGUUAUUCAAUUCUGUUCAUGAUCGAUUCCGAUCAUUCGGAACAAUAAAUCGUAUAUCCCCUUUCAUACCUGGACGCCUGACGAGAAUGGCCACGAAAAGAAGGCAUCCUGCCGGCGGUAGGCGGCCUGCCCUCUUCCCUGUGGCCCGGAGGCAAGAUAAAGUCCGUUCUGGAACCGACGCGAUGGUGUCCCGUUACGGCCGACUGGCCUUGCGUCACGUCCGCCACCUGACCCUGGCUGAAGGCUCUCUGGUGACCCGGCUUCUUCAACGCUGACGGUCGACCCGCGGACGUGGCGCUUCCCACCGUCGUCAGGGCACCCAGGAAGGACCCGUAGAUCUGCCGUCCGGUCGUGCAAUCCGCCAGGACACCUCCAUGGCUCGCCGAUCUCGCGUGAGUCUUCGGUAAGGGUCUCUUCCUGGCCGGCGAGGUGACUUCUUCUACGGCGUCCUCGUCCUCGUCGCCGUUGCUGAUCUUCGUCGACGUGGACGUCAUCGUCGUCGUGGUGCUGGUCGUCA